rnacentral:rRNA from 1 species
UACGUAGGGAGCAAGCGUUAUCCGGAUUUAUUGGGUGUAAAGGGUGCGUAGACGGGACGACAAGUUGGUUGUGAAAUCCCUCGGCUUAACUGAGGAACUGCAACCAAAACUAUCAUUCUUGAGUGCUGGAGAGGAAAGUGGAAUUCCUAGUGUAGCGGUGAAAUGCGUAGAUAUUAGGAGGAACACCAGUGGCGAAGGCGACUUUCUGGACAGUAACUGACGUUGAGGCACGAAAGUGUGGGGAGCAAACAGG